rnacentral:piRNA from 1 species
UGUGCUUUUUGUCAUUUACAGCUGCAGGG